rnacentral:misc_RNA from 1 species
ACCUCUGCUUCUCUAUCUAGAAAAUUAAUUAGUCUACGCGCUACACGCAACAAUCACCUACGUCUCACUCUCACCUCGCUGAUCAUCUCGUCACCAACGCCAUGGCCAUUUGCGGUCACCAUCGGCAAGGCCUUCACCUUGAUCAUUACCACCACCUUUUUCUUCCAGCGGCACGACCUGUUGUGCCCUCCUCUUCUUGCCGUCGUUCAGGCGCACGCCAAACAGCUUCACCGGCGCCUCAUCGUCGUCGCCGCGGCGUGGCCUCCACGUCUGUGCCGCCGAGGCGUCGUCGGCAGAGCCGAGCUCCACCAGCCUGCAGCUGGCGGCGGUCGUCGUCGUCCCCGGCGGUGGCGGCGGCACCGGCUCCACGUGGUUCUGCAGGAAGUAUAUGAUGUCGUUGUAGAGCCGCCUCAUGUGGGCCAGCUCCGACAGCAGCAGCGAGUUGCGCCGCCGGAGCUCCCGGUUGUCCUCCGACAGGGUCGCCAGGAAGUCCUUAUUCCCGCCGUGGCCGUGGUCUUCCUCCUGGACGACGUGGUAGCCCGACGUAGGAUGCCGAGGCGGCUGCGGCGGCGGAAAGAAGAGGCUGAGGUCGUAAGGCCGCUGGUGCUGAGGGAGCGGCGGUGGCUGCAGCUUCUGCGGCGGUUGCGAGCACGACGAGGACUUCCUCCGGUGGAUCUCCGAGAGGAGGUGCUUAGCGCCCUUCCUGAAGAACUCGUUGGCGAACUCCCACCUGUCUGCCACGAUCUUCCUGAAACCCUGCAAAAAAAAAUGC